rnacentral:rRNA from 1 species
CAGCCGCCGCGGUAAUACGAAGGGGGCUAGCGUUGCUCGGAAUCACUGGGCGUAAAGGGUACGUAGGCGGGUUUUUAAGUCAGAGGUGAAAUCCUGGAGCUCAACUCCAGAACUGCCUUUGAUACUGAAAGUCUUGAGUAUGGGAGAGGUGAGUGGAACUGCGAGCGUAGAGGUGAAAUUCGUAGACAUUCGCAAGAACACCAGUGGCGAAGGCGGCUCACUGGCCCAUAACUGACGCUGAGGCACGAAAGCGUGGGGAGCAAACAGGAUUAGAUACCCCCGUAGUCCCUGUCUCUUAUAC